AGAGUUUGAUCCUGGCUCAGGACGAACGCUGGCGGCGUGCCUAACACAUGCAAGUCGAGCGAUGAAGCCCUUCGGGGUGGAUUAGCGGCGGACGGGUGAGUAACACGUGGGUAACCUGCCUCAAAGAGGGGGAUAGCCUCCCGAAAGGGAGAUUAAUACCGCAUAAUAUUAGCUUUUCGCAUGGAGAGCUAAUUAAAGGAGUAAUCCGCUUUGAGAUGGACCCGCGGCGCAUUAGCUAGUUGGUGAGGUAAAGGCUCACCAAGGCGACGAUGCGUAGCCGACCUGAGAGGGUGAUCGGCCACAUUGGAACUGAGACACGGUCCAGACUCCUACGGGAGGCAGCAGUGGGGAAUAUUGCACAAUGGGCGAAAGCCUGAUGCAGCAACGCCGCGUGAGUGAUGAAGGCCUUCGGGUUGUAAAGCUCUGUCUUUGGGGACGAUAAUGACGGUACCCAAGGAGGAAGCCACGGCUAACUACGUGCCAGCAGCCGCGGUAAUACGUAGGUGGCGAGCGUUGUCCGGAUUUACUGGGCGUAAAGGAUGCGUAGGUGGAUGUUUAAGUCAGAUGUGAAAUACCCGAGCUUAACUUGGGUGCUGCAUUUGAAACUGGAUAUCUAGAGUGCAGGAGAGGUAAGUGGAAUUCCUAGUGUAGCGGUGAAAUGCGUAGAGAUUAGGAAGAACACCAGUGGCGAAGGCGACUUACUGGACUGUAACUGACACUGAGGCAUGAAAGCGUGGGUAGCAAACAGGAUUAGAUACCCUGGUAGUCCACGCCGUAAACGAUGAGUACUAGGUGUAGGGGGGUCCAACCUUCUGUGCCGCAGUUAACACAAUAAGUACUCCGCCUGGGAAGUACGAUCGCAAGAUUAAAACUCAAAGGAAUUGACGG
rnacentral:rRNA from 1 species